rnacentral:rRNA from 1 species
AUUGAACGCUGGCGGCAGGCCUAACACAUGCAAGUCGAACGGUAACAGGAAGAAGCUUGCUUCUUUGCUGACGAGUGGCGGACGGGUGAGUAAUGUCUGGGAAACUGCCUGAUGGAGGGGGAUAACUACUGGAAACGGUAGCUAAUACCGCAUAACGUCGCAAGACCAAAGAGGGGGACCUUCGGGCCUCUUGCCAUCGGAUGUGCCCAGAUGGGAUUAGCUAGUAGGUGGGGUAACGACUCACCUAGGCGACGAUCCCUAGCUGGUCUGAGAGGAUGACCAGCCACACUGGAACUGAGACACGGUCCAGACUCCUACGGGAGGCAGCAGUGGGGAAUAUUGCACAAUGGGCGCAAGCCUGAUGCAGCCAUGCCGCGUGUAUGAAGAAGGCCUUCGGGUUGUAAAGUACUUUCAGCGGGGAGGAAGGGAGUAAAGUUAAUACCUUUGCUCAUUGACGUUACCCGCAGAAGAAGCACCGGCUAACUCCGU